AGUUAGGCGGUGUUAUGCCAUCUUAUUGCCCGACACAUCAUUCGUAAUGAUGGGGUCACGUGUUCGAGUCACGUAAGCGGCACCA
rnacentral:tRNA from 1 species